CACAUCCUACGGGGGGCAGCAGUAGGGAAUCUUCCACAAUGGACGAAAGUCUGAUGGAGCAACGCCGCGUGAGUGAAGAAGGGUUUCGGCUCGUAAAGCUCUGUUGGUAGUGAAGAAAGAUAGAGGUAGUAACUGGCCUUUAUUUGACGGUAAUUACUUAGAAAGUCACGGCUAACUACGUGCCAGCAGCCGCGGUAAUACGUAGGGGGCAAGCGUUUUCCGGAUUUAUUGGGCGGAAA
rnacentral:rRNA from 1 species